GAUGAAGAACGUAGCGAAAUGCGAUAAGUAAUGUGAAUUGCAGAAUUCAGUGAAUCAUCGAAUCUUUGAACGCACAUUGCGCCCGCCAGUAUUCUGGCGGGCAUGCCUGUUCGAGCGUCAUUACAACCCUCAGGCCCCGGGCCUGGCGUUGGGGAUCGGCGGAAGCCCCCUGCGGGCACAACGCCGUCCCCCAAAUACAGUGGCGGUCCCGCCGCAGCUUCCAUUGCGUAGUAGCUAACACCUCGCAACUGGAGAGCGGCGCGGCCACGCCGUAAAACACCCAACUUCUGAAUGUUGACCUCGAAUCAGGUAGGAAUACCCGCUGAACUUAAGCAUAUCAAUAAGCGGAGGA
rnacentral:misc_RNA from 1 species